rnacentral:rRNA from 1 species
AUUGAACGCUGGCGGCAGGCUUAACACAUGCAAGUCGAGCGGGGAAGGGUAGCUUGCUACCUAACCCAGCGGAGGACGGGUGAGUAAUGCUUAGGAAUCUGCCAUUUAGUGGGGGACAACAUUCCGAAAGGAAUGCUAAUACCGCAUACGUCCUACGGGAGAAAGCAGGGGAUCUUCGGACCUUGCGCUAAAUGAUGAGCCUAAGUCGGAUUAGAUAGUGGGUGGGGUAAAGGCCUACCAAGGCAACGAUCUGUAGCGGGUCGGAGAGGAUGAUCCGCCACACUGGGACUGAGACACGGCCCAGACUCCUACGGGAGGCAGCAGUGGGGAGUAUUGGACAAUGGGCGGAAGCCUGAUCCAGCCAUGCCGCGUGUGUGAAGAAGGCCUUAUUGUUGUAAAGCACUUUAAGCGAGGAGGAGGCUACUUAGAUUAAUACUCUAGGAUAGUGGACGUUACUCGCAGAAUAAGCACCGGCUAACUCUGUGCCAGCCGCCGCCGUAA